rnacentral:lncRNA from 1 species
AAUGAUUUACGUGUUUAGCACAUGUUUGUUCAAGCGGGCACCACUCAAAAUAAGCCAUGUGUUCCUCUAAAUUUUGGAACUUAUACAUGAUUUCUAAAGGAUUGAUGUGCGUUCUAUUUUACCUUCGGUUCAUUCAUGAUUUUAGAUGGUGGUUUGCUAUUGGUUUUUGUUGUUGAACAGUUUGAUUGGUUCACAGUUUAUGUUUAUGUGUAGUGCUCUUGAUUUUUUUUACGCGAGCUUUUUAUCUUUUCUUGACUUAUUUACUGCUUGGAUGUGUCUAGGACACAUCUAGAUGGAAUAUAGUUAUUGCACACCUAAAUGACUAAAUCAAC